rnacentral:misc_RNA from 1 species
UUCUUGCGGGAACGCAAGAGGGAUAGAACACAGCGGAUUUAGUAGUGCUUUGACCGCCGUUCUUUGCGCGCACACGCACACACACACACACACACACACUAAACGUCUCAAGAAUGAUGGGCCAGGCGCGAAGUGGGCGCUCUGCGCGAUACUUCUCACUAUCAUGUAAGAGGUGUGUUGGAUAUCCAACGCAGUGGAGUGCGGUGCGUCACCAGUCACAGAGCUCCCUCGGCAGGUCGCGCGACCGCCAGCGUGGCCAGCCCAACGCUGACCCCAACACCGGCUCCCAAAUGUCUGUCGCGGAGUCGCCUGAUCUUACGCAGCACAUUCGAUUCGGGCUCAACAAUCUCGAGCACGUGAAGUUGCCUGACAUGCCCGAUGAGGCUCGGCGGCGCAGCGACAUUGACAAGGAGCGUGAGAUGCGGGCAAAGUUUGGCGAGUAUGGCCCCGGCGAGCGGCUGACAAAGAGCUCCCCGCAGAUGCGGCGCGACAUGCUAGAGGAGCAGCAGGACGUCGACGGUCUUCCGUGGGAGGUCCGGUGGCGCAAGUCUCUCAUCCCGACCUCGGAGGAGGUGAUUCAGGAUAUCCGCGAUCGCUUCGACUUGUUCGUCCAGGAUCCGAUCGAGCGUGAGCAGGAGUGGUAUCUGCACUGGAAGGACCGGUCUUUCAAGAUUCAGAAAGAUCGGAUGAUAUGGCCACAAGGCUACACGGACUACCUGGACCACUACGAUGAAAACGGUCGUCGCCGGGUGCUGCCUACCGAUCAGCGAUGGUCCGACUCUUCCUGGAAGCACCUUGCCGACACCCGCUACAAGGACCGCAUGUGGCUCAUCGAGGGCGAGGAGCGCAAAGCUGUUCACCAAAGCUUGCAAACGGACCGGACACUGUUGAAAGAAGAGGAGCAGCGUCAGUCUGAAAUGGGCGACGUGUACCACGGCAUUCUCUCUGGCGUCGUUGAUCUUGACCCAGACCAGACAUACCAGGCGCUCUCUGGUACUGCAGAUCCUCUCGAAGUGGCCAAGACAAAGAUAAAGCUCCAGGCGUACGGGGCGCAUCAGGCCCUCACGGCAGGGAAGAGAGAGCUGAACCCCGCACAGAUAGAUCCGAUAUCUGGCUUCCCCAAGGCGGACAUGGAGCCACUGCCGACCGGCAUUACUGUGGAGCAGGGCGCCGCUAUCGCAACCCAGGCAAACAUUCAGUAUGAGAUGCUGGAGCAAGGGGCGGAGGCCACGCGGCUAGCUGGCUACGACCCAGCAGUAGCAAUGAUGAAGGCGCACCACAACACAUCGAAGCAAUACGGCGACCGUCCGAUGCUGCGUGCGCAGGUCGAGGCGAAUAUUCGAAAAAUCAAGGAGCUGGAGGCGGAGCGACCGCCGCUGGAAGCCGGCAAGACGGCUGGCGCCCUGACCGACGGAGAGAUGAUGGAGAAAAUCGAGUCUCCGCUUCUUGAGGAGACAGCGAAAGGGCAGCCAGCAGUUUCUCAGACCCAGAUCAAAGCGUCUGUGACGACGACCGAGUCGGACUCAGGAGCUGUUGGCGCGUCUACGCCGGCGGGGUUUAUCCAGGUCGCUGAGAGACCGAAAAACGCGGAACCAGAUGUGCCAAACGAGCUCUUCCGUGUUCCGCAAUCCAGAGAGCUGAAUGAGAUGCCGAAGUGGUAUCGCGAGACUCUCGUCGAGACAGAGCCCAUGAUUCGGCAGUAUGGUAUGGUGCACGAUCCCUUGGAGGAAAAACAGCCUGAAAAGGAGUAUUACGUUCCGCCGCCGCUGCGCGACGAUGAGCGGGUGACGCUGGACGACGCCCCUUCCGGACCGUCUGCUUUUGACGAAGUGAAGAUGCACAAGCUCAAGUCUUUGCCGGAGCUGGUAGUCGGGUAUAAGCCACUGCCGCUGUUUCGCGAGGUUUCAAAGAACGACUCACUUGAGGCAGCCGCUGAGGCACAGGAGAAGGAGGCAAAGGAGAAGAAGCUUGUGGGCAAGGACGGCAAGCCGAUGAAGAGGUCGGAGCGCCAGCGGCUCGAGCGCCAGGAGCGGCUGCGCAAGUCGAAGCUGUCGUAUGACUCUGAUAUUCUGCUGCCCAACUUGCCGUGGGAGACGGACUCCAUUGUGGAUCCGUACCGUGGUGUCGAUGCAGUGGACGCAGUCGAGUUCGACAAGGAGGAUCUCGAGAAGACAUGGCGGGCUUAUCGCGACGCAUUUCAGCAGGCUCUGACCGAAUUCGGGAACCUUACUCAGGUGGCGAGCGAGGACAAGUGCGAGAAGAUGCUGUACGACACAAUGGAGCGCUUCCGCGAAGGGCGCGUUGGCGAUCAUCCAGAGGUGCCCAAGGAGCAGGACGAGGUGUUUCGCCUCGUCUUCGAGGCCCACACGAAGCACUUUCUCGCCGACUUUUACAAGUUCAAGGGAAAUCGAACCACCGAGGCGAACGUCGUCAAGGCAGAGGCGGACGAGAUUCUUCGACGCGCAUCGGCGAAGAGCAAGCUUCUUGGGAGGAACUUCAUGAAUUUUGUCCAAGAGAUGACCUCCCUCGAGCUUGAGACGAUUCGCAAGAACCCGGUGCAGCGCUAUGCGGUCAUGGUGCGCGACCGUAAGUAUGAGCCCAUUUCCCAGCCCUUCAUGAAGUGGAUCAAGAAUGAGCUGGGCGAGUUCAUGAUCACAGAGUUCCAUAGCGCCGAGCAGCUGGAGACACACAAAGAGUUUCUCCACCGUCACCUGAACGAUGCCUGCAUCAGGUGCCCCUCCCGCGUUGAAGGUAUCAGCGACGCGUCCCGCGACGCGGCGGUGGAGGCGUUUUACCAGUGGUGUCGCGGUGCGUUGGCGUUCUACACAGGCAAGAAGUUCCAUAGCAUGUUCCUCGACUUCGCUGACAGCCGCUUUCGCUCCCGCGCCGAGGAGCUUUACGAGGAUUCGAUCGAGCUGUUCUCCAACUACGCGAAGGCUGGCAAGGAUAUUGUGCAGAUUCCAGUACCCGACUCAGAUCCGCCUUACGAGUAUGAUGAGAAGGAAUUCCUCGAUGGAGAGAAUGCUCUCUUUGCGGAAAUCUCCGGGCAUCUCGACAAGGCCGAAGCGUUGUGGCACUCCGGCAGCAGUAAGCGCUGGUACCCCAUGACAGAUGAAACAGAGUACAUGUGGUUCAACGAACGCCGAGGUCGUCUAACCCUCGCGAUGGACAUCUCUGACCGCUGCUUGGAAAAUGUCAACAAGAAGACGCACCCAUCCAUCCACCCGUUCCCUGAGCGCGCGCGCGUAUUCUUGGAAGGCGCACCUCUCACUCAGGAAACCGCAGAGCAUCUGUGGCUGCGCUACAUGGGGGACUUGUACUGGGAGCACUCGGAGUUCAUGCAGCGGCAGGGCCGCUUCCAGACCAGCCGGUCCUACCGCGACAAAUGCCUGAACUUGUAUCAUUUGGCGGUGCGCACAGCGCGCGAGCGGCUGCCCGCGUCGUGGAAGGCGCCCCUACUCACAGAGGCAAAAUACAUGCUUCGUGUCUACAAGCCUGGUGAUGACGUGCUGCAACACCUGCAGGAUGUGGAGACGGUGGUGGACAAGCUCUUUGCGCAAGGUGAGCCGCGUCACUGGGUCGAGCCGUUCAGCGAGCUACCGUACCGGCUCGCUGUCGUACAUGCAAACCUGCCUGCCUACGGCGAGGCUAUCACAAAGGAGGUGCACCGACGUCUGAAGUGGCAGCCUUCCAACGAGCUUUUGAUGAAAGAUAUGGAGCAGCGAGCUCGCGGCGGCGCUGUGACGCCAGAACUGGUGCCGUAUUACAACACACUGAAUGCAGUCGCAGAGACGGUGUUCCGGCGCAAAAUACUCAAGUGGCGCUCCAAGGAGUACGAAGGCUCUGAUCCUUUCCUCUUCUGGACUCACAUGUACUUUGCCUUUCGCGUGCAUCCCAAGGACCGAGACGAGGUACAACGGAUGUGGGACAUGUAUGAACCGGCUUAUGUGUACAUCUACACCCAGUGCGCGUUGGCGUCGCGCGUGCGAGGCCACCGCCUCAUCAACGAUGCUCUGCGGCGCCUGUGCCAGAUUUUGCUGUCUGGCGACCAAUCGCAGAAGCUUGUCUUGAUGGAGGAGCUGACCAAAGUGCGCGAGAAGAUGGCGCAUUUGAUCGACCGCAGGGAGCUUGAUCGCACUAUCAACGCCCUCGAAGCGCACCUCGAGAACCCUGCGCAGCAAGCGUACACAUACGGAACGGCACUGCUCUACAAGGAAGCCGUGCUGCACGAAAAAAUCACGCGCAACCCGCUGCUGCGAACGCAGAUGGCGGCGAAGGAGUACACGGAGUUGCGCAAAAUGCAGGAGGAACUGCGCGUCAACGGGGUGACACUAGACCCUCAGCAGGCGGCGAAGAUGCAGGAGAAGGAGGGUGGCCUCGAUGACACACACCUCGACGCUCAACCGAGCUUGACCACGAAAGAAAUGUUUGCCGAAAAGUAAGCACGUAUGUGUGCGUCCGUAUCCCUCUUCCUUGCACAACACUCUUUUCCACCACUUGCUUCAAAACAGCAGGCAUUGUUGUGGCGCACAGGCGGCGUGUGUGACAUGCGGAUCCCUACAGGCAGUGUUUGGCUUUUUUUGUGAGGCGCUUUUGACUCUUUUGUAGUGUUCCUCUUUGAAGCAGAUGCCGCUUCAUUACCGUCUUAAGGCAUCGUGCUUCGCAGCUAUCGUUUCAUUUCAAGACGCAAGAAAAAAAAGAAGAUCGGAUUCCGCAGAUGUCGACUGGAUUUACCGCCGCACAAGAGAGCGCAACCAGGAUCUGCCGGACACUGGAGAUGCAGACAAACGGUGCACAGUUUUUCCGUUUUUUUCUUUCGUGACCUGAGGCAGGUAGGCGGAGGGCUCACCUUCCACUUCUCGCCCUUAUCUUCAUCCUCUUUCUCUUUGAUGUUUGCGUGGGUGCGCACAUUCUGCCUGCAUUCUCACUGAGCCGCUUUACUCAG